AGUCUUUUACGACCAGCUCCUCUUGAACUCCCCCAGGGUGGGAACGCAGCAAGGGUAGAGAGUUGUAGCGGUGCGAUAGAAG
rnacentral:SRP_RNA from 1 species